UCUUUUUAAGUAUAAUUGUACAUUUGUUUUCCAAACAAAAAGCUUGUUAAUGCAAAAAAAGCA
rnacentral:tRNA from 1 species